GGAGUUGUAGCUCAGUGGUAGAGCGCUUGCCUAGCAUGCAUGAGACACUGGGUUCAACCCUCAACACCA
rnacentral:tRNA from 1 species